UAUAAUAUAUAAAAAAUUGAUAAUCACGCAGACUAUGUCAUAUCAUGAAAGAAAGACUAAUAAAGUAGCAAAAUAUUAAAUAUGAGAAACAAUAUUCCCUGCUAGUUUGAUUAUCUUAAAUAGAUCCAAAUUCUAAUUCAUAGACAAUAAUGCUUCAAUUCUUCACGAAAAAACUUCAUCGGGCAUUUGUAGAAGGAAAAUCUGUCAGUAAUCUGCCGAAACCUAUUUAGAACACCUUUUUGUGACUCAAUGAAUUGAUUCUCUAGUUUUUUUUUAUUUCCUUUUCGCAGCACUGGACUUAGGUUUCGGCAUUGUAACACCUAAAUCCUAAAGUUGCAAAAAAUUAAUAGAUCAAUACGACUAGAAAGAUGAUGAAACUGAAAAGAUAAAUACGAUUACACCAAGAAAGCAGGAAAAUCAACCGUACCAAGAAAAUCAAGACCGAAAUCACGGAAUCAAGGAUUGAAGGAUCAGCACCUGCCACUUGAUUGCAGCAGCCGGUGGCCGGCCGUGCGAGUCUUCGAGAGAGCAGGCGGAGGCGGACGAGCCCCGAAGCGAACAUGACCAGGCGCAGCUGCGAUUCAAUCGAUCGAAUCGGUCGAUGUAGUAUGGCGAGGCAUCGUGCCUUUUACUCUCCCGCAGUUGGGCUGGGCCUUUACUGAUUAAUU
rnacentral:lncRNA from 1 species